ensembl:misc_RNA 7SK 7SK RNA
GGAUGUGACAUUGAUCUGGCUGCAACAUUUGGCAGCCCAUUGAUUGCCAGGAUUGAUUCAGCUGAUAUAGCUGGCUAGGUGGGUGUCCCUUUCAUUCCUCAAGGCUCCAUGUGCAUCCUUCUUGAAGCUGCAUGUUCGGUUGAAGAGGAUGGCCACUUUCUAUAAAAGGAGGACCAUUCUUUGGUCAAGCCUAUGAGUAGCUGUUCGCCAUGUAAAAUUUCCAAACAAGCUGUCAAGCAUGAAGUUGAACCUGAACCUUAAAUCAUUUGUAGUUGGGCAUUGUGGCACAGGCCUCUAAU